GCUUCCAUAGCUCAGUGGUAGAGCGUACGCUUAGUAAGCGUAAGGCCGUGAGUUCGAAACUCACUGGAAGCU
rfam:Vitrella brassicaformis CCMP3155 genome assembly, contig: scaffold413